ensembl:lincRNA Gm15985 predicted gene 15985
CAUAAACACUUGCACACAGAGCAGCCACACGGAGCCUCCUCCCAGGCCCAGGGUCUGCAGGUGCAGGCUCCAAUUACAGCAGUCAGCUCUAGUACCUUUUCAUCCUGAACAACAGCUACAGCCUGGGAUGGAGGAAGGCCCCGGAAGGAGAGCCGACUGCGGAGAACAAAGCUUGCCCAAAGAUUGCUUGUGCUGCUUGAGAAACUUUACAAGAGCUACGCCACAGCCCCCAUGAUGCAACUGAACCUUGUUCAAUAACGAUUGCUGCAAGCAAAUUAUCUUAGUGGACCAUAACAUUUUUUUUUUCCUUUGACUUUGGAAAGAGAUUCCAAAAACAACUUAG